GUACCCCUUGGGCUGGAGGUGUGCCCAGGUGUACCCAGGUGUAUCUGAGCUGUUCCCAGGUGUACCCAGGUGUGCCCAGGUGUACCCAGGUGUAUCUGAG